GACGAACCGUGCGAACGUUAUUCGGAAUCACUGGGCUUAAAGCGCGUGUAGGCGGCCAGGUAGGUCCGUUGUGAAAACCCGAGGCUUAACCUCGGGACGCCGACGGAAACCAUCUGGCUAGGGUCCGGAAGAGGAGAGUGGAAUUCCCGGUGUAGCGGUGAAAUGCGCAGAUAUCGGGAAGAACACCCGUGGCGAAGGCGGCUCUCUGGGACGGUACCGACGCUGAGACGCGAAAGCGUGGGGAGCGAACAGG
rnacentral:rRNA from 1 species